rnacentral:snRNA from 1 species
GUGCUCACUUUGGCAGCACAUAUACUAAAACUGGAACGACACAGAGGCGAUUAGCAUGGCCCCUGUGCAAGGGUGACACGCAAAUGCAUAAAGCGUUCCAUAUAUUU